GCCUCUGUGGCGCAAUGGUAGCGCGUACGACUCCUAAUCGUGAAGUUCCAAGUUCGAGUCUUGGCUGAGGUG
rnacentral:tRNA from 5 species